rnacentral:rRNA from 1 species
GACGAACGCUGGCGGCGUGCUUAACACAUGCAAGUCGAACGACGUGGCGAACGGGUGAGUAACGCGGAAUCAACCUGCCCUUCAGAGGGGGACAACAGUUGAAAAUGACUGCUAAUACCGCAUACUGAAGGAGGGGAUUGCGUCUGAUUAGCUAGUGGGAGGGGGAACUGCCCAACAAGGCGAGGAUCAGUAGCCGGUCGGAGAGGGGGAACAGCCAAAUUGGGACUGAGACCCGGCCCAGACUCCUACGGGAGGCAGCAGUGGGGAAUCUUCCGCAAUGGACGAAAGUCUGACGGAGCAACGCCGCGUGAGUGAUGACGGCCUUCGGGUUGUAAAGCUCUGUUAAUCGGGACGCGGUACCGGAAUAGAAAGCCACGGCUAAGUACGUGCCAGCAGCCGCGGUAAUUC